rnacentral:lncRNA from 1 species
AGGGGACCUGGAAACUCUUACAGCUUCACUACAACAUCCAAAUUGAGCCUAGACUAUGCAUUUGGAAAUUUGGAGAGGCUAGGAUAGAAGUUAAAGCUGAAAAAGGUCUUAGAAAUAACCUGGUCCAAUCUCCCCCUUUUUGGUAGAUAAGGAUACUGAGACCUGGGGAAGGAAAGUGAUAUUUGCACAUGGGAAGCAAGAGCAAAACCAAGAUUUAGACCCAAGUCUUCUGGCUGCAAAUCUAAUGCUCAAGUUCUUUUUGCCAGCCAUAUUCACCAGAACAAUUGUGAUCUAUGUCUGUGGAAAGAGCACUCAAGUCAAUGAAAUUAAAGACCAAUUAAGUCCUUAAGUCAAGAAGAUGCAUCUGUGCACACGUACAGCUGUGCUGCUCCAAAUAAGAACUUACUGAAAAUGUCUCAAGUGGCUCAAGACCAAAAUAUGGACAUGACUUGGAACCAAUAUAUGACCAAAAUGGGUGGGAUCCCUUUUGCUGCUGUUUUAAGGUAGGACUCCGGUAGGAGCCAUGUUUUCUUUAAAGUUCUAUAGUGUCCAUACUGCUUCCCCUGAUUUAUUUUUCAGGUUUAUAUUCACCUGUCUUAUUUACUACUUAUUUACUUUGCU